UGGAACUUGGAAGUAACCAGGCUCCACUGAAGGGCUUGCAACUUCUGUUAGAUGGGCAAGGCAAUAAUGUUUGCAAGACUAAACCUCAGGGGACCUGGGUGCUAAUCCUCUCAGCCGAAAAACCUGCUGAGUGAUCUUGGACCAGUCACUGUCUAAUGAAUUACUUCAAAGGAAGAAAACAUUCUCUAUACACCUGCAGAAGAGGCUACUGCUGCUAAGACCUGGGUUUCUACUUCAGUGUUCUCCUUGUACAGAUCUGCUCCAUCUCCCCAGUGUCUCUAUUCAUUGACUUUCUCUAUCUUUGCACUUAGGGAAAGGCAAGGCCGUGGGGGGGGAGGGGAGAGAGCGCGAGAGAAAGCGCGCACGCAAGAGAGAGAGUGUGUGUGUGUGCGCACUUCAUGUUUACCACCUGCAGAAUUGGACUGAUCAUGUUAUCUCCCAUCUCCAUAAACUGCUGUUAACAUAUUCAUAGAAUAUAAUUAGAAGUAUAACUGGUAUUCAUGAUUACAUCAUUGA